rnacentral:rRNA from 1 species
UAGGGAAUCUUCGGCAAUGGGGGGAACCCUGACCGAGCAACGCCGCGUGAGUGAAGAAGGUUUUCGGAUCGUAAAGCUCUGUUGUUAAGGAAGAACGAGUGUGAGAAUGGAAAGUUCAUGCUGUGACGGUACUUAACCAGAAAGGGACGGCUAACUACGUGCCAGCAGCCGCGGUAAUACGUAGGUCCCGAGCGUUGUCCGGAUUUAUUGGGCGUAAAGCGAGCGCAGGCGGUUAGAAAAGUCUGAAGUGAAAGGCAGUGGCUCAACCAUUGUAGGCUUUGGAAACUGUUUAACUUGAGUGCAGAAGGGGAGAGUGGAAUUCCAUGUGUAGCGGUGAAAUGCGUAGAUAUAUGGAGGAACACCGGUGGCGAAAGCGGCUCUCUGGUCUGUAACUGACGCUGAGGCUCGAAAGCGUGGGGGGCGAACAGG